UGCAGUCGACGCGGUACACUUUCGGGUGUGCCGAGUGGCGCACGGGUGCGUAACACGUAGGCAACCUGCCCUCGAGUGGGGAAUAACCUCGGGAAACCGGGGCUAAUACCGCAUACGGUCAGAGAGAGGCAUCUCUUUUUGAUCAAAGCUAUAAGCGCUUGAGGAUGGGCCUGCGGCGGAUUAGGUAGAUGGUGGGGUAACGGCCUACCAUGCCUGUGAUCCGUAGCUGGUCUGAGAGGAUGAUCAGCCACACUGGCACUGAGACACGGGCCAGACUCCUACGGGAGGCAGCAGUGAGGAAUCUUGCGCAAUGGGGGAAACCCUGACGCAGCCACGCCGCGUGGAGGAUGAAGGUCCUAUGGAUCGUAAACUCCUUUUCUGAGGGAAGAAGACUCAUCGAUCGAUGGGCGUGACGGUACCUCACGAAUAAGCACCGGCUAACUCCGUGCCAGCAGCCGCGGUAAUACGGAGGGUGCAAGCGUUGUCCGGAAUCACUGGGUGUAAAGGGUGUGUAGGCGGGCUGGUGAGUCAGAGGUGAAAGUCAGCGGCUCAACCGUUGGAUUGCCUUUGAUACUGCCAGUCUUGAGUACCGGAGGAGUCACUGGAAUUCGUGGUGUAGCGAUGAAGUGCGUAGAUAUCACGAGGAACACCGGAAGUGUAGACGGGUGACUGGACGGAGACUGACGCUCAGGCACCAAUGCGUGCGGAGCGUACAUGAUUAGAUACCCUGGUAGUCCACGCUGUAAUCGAUGGAUGCUCGAUGAUGCCCUGGUACUAGAGGCAGUGCCUAAAUUAACCCGAUAACCAUCACACCUUGGGAGUACGCUGCGCAGAUUGCAACUCAGAUGACUUGACUGGG
rnacentral:rRNA from 1 species